UUUGUGUAAUCACAUUUUUUGGCAUCAUUCAUUCCCUUAAAAUUCUGUAGUAUUCAGCAGAGCAUAUUCUCCUCUCUAACUCUCCCCUUUUCACUUCCCUUUCUAUCCUCUUCGUUUUCUUCGUUCUGCAUCGUACAGAAGAAAAUUUGUUGGUUUUUUCGCGUCUACACUGCUCGAAUUAUGGAUCUAUUGUGCUUGCAUGUCAAAAACAGCGGCUUUCCGCUAAGGAAUUCGUUAAUCGAGAAACCCAUUUGCUGGAAUUCCAGAAACUGUUCAAUGGCUGUUGAAAUUAGGGUUUCCAGGAAGGAAUCUUUGUCGAAUUGCUGUGGGUAUCGAUCGAUUACAGUCAGAUCCAUGGGCAAGAAGAAUUCCGGAAGUUCUAAUGGCUCCAAUUCUAAUUCAUCGUCUUCCAGUUCUGGGAAUAGUGAUCAAUCAAAAGCUGGCGAUGGUCUAAAAGGCAAUAAUCCACUUGGUGGCCACAAGUCUGGUGACACCAGCUCACCAAAAUCAAAGAAUAAACCCUUGGAUUGGAGGGAGUUUAGAUCAAUGCUCUACAUCAAUGAGAAGGCUGCAAAUGCAGAAUCUGUUCAUGACCAAGAUAAAAUUGCCCCAGCAUCAGAAUCUCUCCCCCUAAAGUGGGCACACCCUAUUUCAGCACCUGAGAAUGGUUCUAUCCUUGUUGCCACAGGAAAGCUCGAUGGAGUUCGCACCUUUGAGAGAACCGUGGUUCUUCUCCUCAGAUCUGGAACGAGGAACCCACAGGAGGGACCAUUUGGGAUCGUCUUAAACCGACCACUUAACAAGAAGAUGAAACAUAUGAAUCCCACCAAUGCUGAGUUGGCAACUACAUUUGCUGAUUGUGCUUUGAACUUUGGUGGACCCCUUGAUGCAAGUAUGUUCCUGCUAAGAGGUAUGGAAACCCGUGGACUUGCUGCUUUUGAGGAGGUCAUUCCUGGGGUCUACUUUGGCUCCCGUAACAGUUUGGCUGAAGCUGCAGCAUUGGUGAAGAAUGGGACUAUUAAGCCGCAAGAAUUGAGAUUCUUCAUGGGAUAUGCAGGGUGGCAAAUGGACCAAUUGAUAGAAGAGAUUGAAUCUGAAUACUGGUAUGUUGCUGCUUGUAGUACCAACUUGAUCUUUGGGGAUUCACAAUCGCACAGUUUGUGGGAAGAGAUUCUGCAACUAAUGGGAGGCCACUACUCUGAAUUGAGCCGCAAGCCUAAGCAUGAUAUCUAGUUCAUCCUACACUCCUUUAACAUAAAAUUGACUCCAGCAUGUAUGGAAAGAUCGCCCUAAAUGUACAGUCUGCUAAAGGGCGAGUGAAGACAACUUACCUUCUUGCUUCCUCUUCUCGAAGCUUGGCAUCGAGCUCCUUACAUGGUGGAUAUUUGGGUAAGCUAGACGGAUCACAGGGAAGAGGGCGUGAAGUGAAGAACUGAAACCAUGAAAAUUCAAAUUUGUGGUAUCAAGAAGAAAGAAGACCUGAAAAAGGCUCAACUAGAGCUAAUAGAAAGUUAAGGUACCGUGCUUUUGAGUGCAGAAGAAGCCGUGCCUCUGAGUGCUGGGUCAAUAGAGAGAAGCGUUUCCACCAGGGCCAAAGCCGACGAAGGGAAGUGUUUGAAAGCUUCUGCAACACGUCGUCUGUAUGGCCUCCGUGGCCUAAAGCUAGUAGCCUGAG